rnacentral:rRNA from 1 species
AUUGAACGCUGGCGGCAGGCUUAACACAUGCAAGUCGAGCGAGCGGCGGACGGGUGAGUAAUGUCUGGGAAACUGCAUGAUGGAGGGGGAUAACUACUGGAAACGGUAGCUAAUACCGCAUACCAUCAGAUGUGCCCAGAUGGGAUUGGCUAGUAGGUGGGGUAAUGGCUCACCUAGGCGACGAUCCCUAGCUGGUCUGAGAGGAUGAGGAGCCCGACUGAAACUGAGACACGGUACAGACGCCCUCGGGAGCCGGCCGUGGGGAAUCUGGCACAAUGGGCGCAGACCUGAUGCAGACAUGCCGCGUGUGUGAUGCAGGCCUUCUGGUUGUAAAGCACUUUCAGCGAGGAGGCGUUACUCGCAGAAGAAGCACCGGCUAACUCCGUGCCAGCAGCCGCGGUAAUUC